UACGUAGGGUGCGAGCGUUAAUCGGAAUUACUGGGCGUAAAGCGUGCGCAGGCGGUUUUGUAAGCCAGAUGUGAAAUCCCCGGGCUCAACCUGGGAAUGGCAUUUGGGACUGCAAGGCUGGAGUUUGGCAGAGGAGACUGGAAUUCCUGGUGUAGCAGUGAAAUGCGUAGAUAUCAGGAGGAAUACCGAUGGCGAAGGCAGGUCUCUGGGCUAUAACUGACGCUCAUGCACGAAAGCGUGGGGAGCAAAAGGG
rnacentral:rRNA from 1 species